rnacentral:rRNA from 1 species
UGGGGAAUAUUGCGCAAUGGGCGAAAGCCUGACGCAGCAACGCCGCGUGUGUGAUGAAGGCCUUCGGGUUGUAAAGCACUGUUCAGAGGGAAGAACCAGCGGGGGUAACGCCUCGCCCUGACGGUACCUCUGAAGAAAGCACUGGCUAACUCCGUGCCAGCAGCCGCGGUAAUACGGAGAGUGCAAGCGUUGUUCGGAAUUACUGGGCGUAAAGGGCGUCUAGGUGGCAGGGCAAGUCAGACGUGAAAUCCCUCGGCUCAACCGAGGAAGUGCAUCUGAAACUGCUCAGCUUGAGUAUCGGAGGGGGUAGCGGAAUUCCCGGUGUAGAGGUGAAAUUCGUAGAUAUCGGGAGGAACACCAGCGGCGAAGGCGGCUACCUGGCCGAAUACUGACACUGAAGCGCGAAAGCGUGGGGAGCAAACAGG